rnacentral:misc_RNA from 1 species
UGUGGGAGCGAGCUUGCUCGCGAUGGCGUCUUGCCGGUCGACUUGAUGCUGACUGACAUACCGCUAUCGCGAGCAAGCUCGCUCCCUCA